rnacentral:lncRNA from 1 species
GCCUCAUAUGUGCAAGGCAAGCAUUCCGCCACUGAGCCAAAACUCCAGCCCAGAUUUCCAAAAUUUUUGAUGUGCAAGUAAAACAGUUGUUAGAAACUUAAGAGUUUAAAUCUUAUAUUAUAAAAUUAUAAAUUUAUUAAAAUCAGACAUCUAAAUUUUUAACAAAAAUCUAGGAAAACAAAAUAAAUUUAACUUAAAAGUCCAAAAAAAGGAAAAAGAAAAUUAAUAAAAUUGAAAAUGGAUGUAUAUCAGAGAAAAUGAACAGAAUCAGAAGGUUUUGGGGGUUUUGUUUUUGUUUUUGAUAAACAACCUUCAAAACCAAUAAGGAAGAAAAACAAAAAAAUCUGAAAAAUGAAUUGUAACCAUCUGAAUGAAAUAGAUGACAUCCCUACAGCUCCUACGGAUAUUAAAAAGACAGUAAAGGACACCAAAAGAAUUUUUUUGUCAUUAGAUUUAACAUCUUCAAUGAAAAUCUGAAAAACACAAUAUUUCACUGCCUGCUUCUGUGUAAAAAUAUAUUCUUCGAAAUAUUGUCUUUGAAAAAACAGUAUUACACUAUCUACUUCUUCUUUUUUUUUUAAAGCUAGUGGUUUAAAAACUACAGCCACAUAAUAAUUUCUCAUAGUAAUGGGAAUUGACCAAGUUCAGCUAGGGGGCUCUCACUGGGGUCUCCCAUGUGGUUGCAACCAGAGGGAAGCUGGCUCAGGUCCUUAACAAGCUCAACUUGGAUACUGGGACACCCUCUGCUUAUAGUUCCAGGGCCUCAAAUGUGGCUUAUGUGGUCCCCCAAGAAUGAAGACAGGGCUCUUAGGCUAAGGGCACAGCAUCCCAAAAAUAUGUUUCUCAAGAGAGGAAAGUAAAAGCUGUAAGAUUUCUUUAGACCCAACCUCAGAGUUGUGGGGUGGGGGACAGGUGCAUGGAAUUAGUUCUGCAUACAUGGCAUACAUUAAGGGCUUCUGAGUGGCAGGCCACUCCCAUCAUGCUAGGUGUGUGAGUGGCAGGCCGGCCACUUACCCCGCAGGCACAGCCCUGGGUGUGAGGCCAUGUGUUGCAGUCCUGACACUUGCUCCAGGGCCCGCUCCUCAAUUGGUCACUACAAGGACAGUUGGCCAGAAUUUGUACUGGUGACUGCCUGUAAUCUGCUUGCUCUGGCCAGGUCCUCGAUUGGUCACUGCAAGGAUAGUUAGCAAGAAAGUGUAUUAGUGGCUGCCUAUAGUCUGUCUAGCUACUGCCUGAGUAUAUAUACAUGGUAACUGCACAAUAAAAUCAGACCUGCUUCCUGCUUGGUCUCCAGAGGUCUUGAUUAGCAACUCUGUAGCCACACUCUCCUCUACCCUGUUCUGUGGACCUCCUCGCUGGAUGAGAGAGAGCCCAUGCAUUGUCCCACAUGCUAUUUGUCAACAGAAUCAGCCCAGAUUGAAGGGGAUGAGAUAUAGAACAACAAUGCUCUUUUGAGAUGAGUAACAGAUAAUGUGCACCCUUCUUUAACCUACCCCAAAUAAUUUUUUAAAACUCACUAAAAGAGAGAGAAAUUGUGCAGUAAAUAAAUUUAAUUUUCUCAAAUCAUCUUCCAAAAGCAAUUAAAGGCCCACUUUGCUUCAGUGUUAAAUUCCACUAAAUAACUUCAAUUCAUCUGGAAUUGUUUGUUACUGGUGAUCUAAGUGUCAUCAUAAACUUUAUAAAGGGUUCAAACAACCUAGCAGUGUUUAUUAAAAGACUGUUUUCUGUCAUGCUACCAUAGAAACAUGUUUUAGGGUGGGUCUGCUUUUAAAUUUCUAUUCUAUUCUGUUGUCUUAUUUGUCUGCUCUUGACAAAACACUAUGCUAACUAACAAUCAUAUAGUAGGCCUUGAUAUAUUAUGUUUUUCCAGUUGUGUUAUAAUUUUCCAAAAUUUCCUUGGCUAACCUAAGAACUUAGCAAAUGCAUAUGAAUUUUAAAUUCAUCUUGAUGAUUCCUCCAUACCUUAAAAAGAAAAAAAAUGAAAGAAAAAGAAACAAAACAGCAAGCAAAUAAAAAGCCUUGGCAUGGUUUUUAAUGAGAUUUUAUUGAACACAUCUGUAAUUUGGAGAGAAUUGACAUUUUAAAAAUAUUUAGUGUUAUAAUCUCUAAACUGGGUAUUUUUCUCAAUAUGCUUAUGUCUAUUAUUUCUUCCAAUGAUGUUUCAUAAUUUUCAAUAUAAUUGUUUUCCAAUAUUUUGUAAGUUUUAUUCAUAGGUAUUGAUAAGUUUGAUACUGUUGUGAAAGUUAUCAUUUUCUUGAUUUUGUUUUCUGCUUAUGGUAGAACACAAUAUAAUUGGUUUUGGUUAUGCUGACCUUAUAUCCAGCAACUUUAUUAAAUUUGCUUAUUAGUCUGUGAACUUUUCUAUUAUGUUUGUUUUCUAAGUGUGUGCUCUUGUCAAGAGUAAAUAAUGGCAAUUUUACCUUCUUUGUAAUCCUUACACAUUUUAUUAACUUUUAUUGCCAGCUUUCAUUGCCUAAUACCUCUAAUACUCUAGAUAUCAAAGGGAGAUUUUUAAAAAUCUGCUCCUGGUUCUGAUGUGUGCAAUAGGAUAGCUAUCUUUUCUCACAUUGAGGAAGUUUCUUUUUAUUACAAGUUAGCUAAUAGAUUUUUUUUAAUUAAGACAACUUUCUAAGUUCUGGAGCAGUUUUUUACAAAGCUAAAAAUACUCUCACACUAUGAUUCAGAAAAUGUAUUCCUAAGUGUUGACCCAAAUUAGUGGAUAACUUAUAUCCACACAAAAACCUGUAUGGAUAUUUACAGCAGCAUUAUUCAUGAUUGUCCCAAAUGGGAAGCAACUGAGAUAGCCUUCAAUAAGUAAUAGAUAAACCAUAGUAUAUCCAUAAAAUGGAGUGUUAAUUCAGCAUUCAAGAUAUCAAGCUAUGAAAAGACACGGAGGAAACUUAAGGGCCUCUUACUAAGUGAAAGAAGCUGGUCUGAAAAAAUACUAUAUAUAUAUAUUUGCAAUUAUAUAACAUUAUAGGAUGGGUAAAACUAUAGAGGCAUUAAAUAUAUCAGUAUUUUCCAGGGGUUCAUGAGCAGGAGAGGAGAGAUUAUUAGUUGGAACACAGAGCAUUUGUUUAGGUCUGUAGAACUAUGCUGUAUGAUAUUGUAAUGGUGAAUAUAUGGCUUAACAUAUUUAUCAGAACCCAUAGAACUAUGUGAUACAGUGUGAACCCUAGAAUAACUAUGGACUUUAGCUAAGAAUAAAUGUCAGUAUUCUAAUAAGUAUUAUAACAAAUAUUAUUAGUAUUAUAACAAGUGUACCAAACUAAUGCAAGAUGUUAAUUAUAGAAGAAACUGGAUCAGGUGAUGGAGGGAAGAGGCUGUGGGGGAACUCUCUGUACUUUCUCUGCAUUUUUUUUGUAAAGUUAAAAAUGUUCUAAAACUAAUAUGGAUUUAUUUUUUCUUUUUUAUUACAUACCCAUCUAAAUUUUAUUGUAUUCUCUUUUGUAAAUCUGUGUUUUUAUAAUUAAAAAAUCAUACAUAUGUAAUAGAAACACUUGUGCCUAGUCUAUCCUCAAU